rnacentral:rRNA from 1 species
GUAGUCAUAUGCUUGUCUCAAAGAUUAAGCCAUGCAUGUCUAAGUAUAAGCAACUAUACGGUGAAACUGCGAAUGGCUCAUUAAAUCAGUUAUCGUUUAUUUGAUAGUACCUUACUACAUGGAUAACCGUGGUAAUUCUAGAGCUAAUACAUGCUAAAAACCUCGACUUCGGAAGGGGUGUAUUUAUUAGAUAAAAAACCAAUGCCCUUCGGGGCUCCUUGGUGAAUCAUAAUAACUUAACGAAUCGCAUGGCCUUGCGCCGGCGAUGGUUCAUUCAAAUUUCUGCCCUAUCAACUUUCGAUGGUAGGAUAGUGGCCUACCAUGGUAUCAACGGGUAACGGGGAAUGA